rnacentral:rRNA from 1 species
AUGACCUCCGCCCAUCAUGCAUCAUCGACGAGGUUAGUCGCGUCUCCGUGUGCUCCGCACAGCACCUUCCCCACCACCAGUUGGAGCGCAGCCUCCGCGCGCCCGACGACACUCCCUGCGAUCCAUGCCGACCUCAACCUCAAGCGCAACACCACCGAGGACGACUUCGCUGUGUCGGCGCCCACCAUGUGCUCGACAGAAUUCCAGAGAGGCUAUACAGGCAUGGUUUUGUCCAUGCCGACCAAGCUGUUGUCUACCACCGAUUCAGGUGUGUGCGAGGUGCACGAGGGCGUUGACGGCUUCACCUCCACGACAAUCUCCCUGAGCUUCACCAAUGAAUUCCAUGAGGUGACUGAUGCGCAUGUUUCUGAAGCUGCUCCAACCAUCGACCCACCCUCACACCACCUGUUCGGCCAAAUUACAAAUCGGCAGGAUCCUGCUGAAGAUCGUGUUCUCAGCAUCACCAUUUCCCUGGUGCAUCACCCUAUCACUGAAGACAUCCUACAUGACAUUUUCAAGCCAUAUGGAGUGGAACAGAUCAUAGUCUACCCAAGGGCCACAACCCUCCGGGGAUCAGUUUAUGUGCCAGCCGAGGUCAAGUUCAAAUCAGGGCUUGCUGCAUCGAGGGCUCGUAGUGAUUGGCAUCGCCAGUACAUGUACCAGGGGUCUUGUUUCCUUCGUGUCCACUAG